rnacentral:rRNA from 1 species
AGAGUUUGAUCCUGGCUCAGGAUGAACGCUGGCGGCGUGCCUAAUACAUGCAAGUCGAACGGAGAUUGUAGCAAUACGGUCUUAGUGGCGAACGGGUGAGUAACGCGUUGGUGACCUGCCCCGAAGUGUGGGAUAACAGCCCGAAAGGGUUGCUAAUACCGCAUGUGGUUUUUCGGAUUAGAUGCCGGAUUUCUAAAGGAGAAAUUCGCUUCGGGAGGGGCCUGCGUCCCAUCAGCUAGUUGGUAGGGUAAAAGCCUACCAAGGCGAUGACGGGUAGGGGACCUGAGAGGGUGGCCCCCCACAAUGGAACUGAAACACGGUCCAUACACCUACGGGUGGCAGCAGUAGGGAAUAUUGGUUAAUGGGCGAAAGCCUGAACCAGCAACGCCGCGUGUGCGAUGACGGCCUUCGGGUUGUAAAGCACUUUUUGAGGGGAUGAGGAAGGGCAGUACCCUCAG